rnacentral:rRNA from 1 species
UACGUAGGAUGCAAGCGUUGUCCGGAUUUAUUGGGUUUAAAGGGUGCGUAGGCGGCAUAUUAAGUUAGGGGUGAAAAGGUUCGGCUUAACCAGGUACCCGCCAUUGAUACUGAUAGGCUUGAGUGCGACAGAGGGUGUCGGAAUGUGUGGUGUAGCGGUGAAAUGCUUAGAUAUCACGCAGAACACCAAUUGCGAAGGCAGAUGCCUAUGUCGUAACUGACGCUGAGGCACGAAAGCGUGGGGAGCAAACAGG